rnacentral:rRNA from 1 species
CCUACGGGAGGCAGCAGUGGGGAAUAUUGGACAAUGGGGGGAACCCUGAUCCAGCGACGCCGCGUGAGUGAAGAAGUAUUUCUGUAUGUAAAGCUCUAUCAGCAGGGAAGAAAGACAUGACGGUACCUGACUACGAAGCCCCGGCUAACUACGUGCCCUCAGCCGCGGUCAUACGUAGGAUCCGAGCAUUAUCCGGAGUGACUGGGUGUAAAGAGUUGCGUAGGUGGCAUAAUAAGUAGCUAGUGAAAUCUGGUGGCUCAACCAUUCAGACUAUUAGCUAAACUGGUAGGCUCGAGACCGUUAGAGGUAACUGGAAUGUGUAGUGUAGGAGUGAAAUCCGUAGAUAUUAGAAGGAACACCGAUAGCGUAGGCAGGUUACUGGGACGGAUCUGACACUAAGGCACGAAAGCGUAGGGAGCGAACGGGAUUAGAUACCCUGGUAGUC